CUUUACUGUCACUCUUACAUUUUUGCGUUUUGCGUGUAUCAUUGCUGUCAGUUUGUGUUAUUUUACAGAGUAAGUUCUGCCAUAUGCUGUGUUUUUCGUGAAUUUAAAUUGGAAGACAAAGAAUUUAGCACGAGUAAAUAUUAGGUUGCGGGCGACUUAAUUCUAAAAUUGUUCCUUGUUGGAGGUCGAAUGCGUUUGCUCCCAAGGUUGCUAAGCAACAAGUGACAUUCAAGCCAGGAGUAUAAAAGGGCUCUUCAAGGAUUGCUGUGUGAGCUAAAUUCGUUUUGGCUUCUUUUCAAAUAUUUUUUUUAAGCUUGGAGUUUAUUUUAUUUAUCAAUGUAAUAUCUAAACGACAAACAUCGAAAU